rfam:Limnochorda pilosa DNA, complete genome, strain: HC45.
CCCAUCGCGUGGGAUGCGAAGGAAGCCGAAGGCAAAGCGCUGGCCCGACGAACAGGAAUGGCAUACGAGGCGGGCACGCUGGGUGAGGAGGCACGAAUGAGAGGGGGUUACCCUCCUGCCUGGGACACGGCGCGCGGUUCGGUUGCUCCGGGCGGGCGGGUCGGCUAUGAUG